AUACGGUGAAUACGUUCCCGGACCUUGUACACACCGCCCGUCAAGCCACGGAAGCCGGGUGUACCUAAAGUCGAUAACCGUAAGGAGUCGCCUAGGGUAAAACUGGUGACUGGGGCU
rnacentral:rRNA from 1 species